rnacentral:misc_RNA from 1 species
GAAAUGCGAUACGUAAUGUGAAUUGCAGAAUUCAGUGAAUCAUCGAGUCUUUGAACGCACAUUGCGCCCCCUGGUAUUCCGGGGGGCAUGCCUGUCCGAGCGUCAUUGCUGCCCUCAAGCCCGUCUUGUGUGUUGGGCCCCCGUCCCCCCUCCAAAGGGGACGGGCCCGAAAGGCAGCGGCGGCACCGUGUCCGGUCCACGAGCGUAUGGGAAGCAACUUUUUGUCACCCGCUCCUGUAGGUCCGGCCGGCGGCCUGCCCAACCCCAAACAAUCUUUUAACCAGGUUGACCUCGGAUCAGGUAGGGAUACCCGCUGAACUUAA